rnacentral:rRNA from 1 species
AGAGUUUGAUCAUGGCUCAGAUUGAACGCUGGCGGCAGGCCUAACACAUGCAAGUCGAACGGUAGCAGGAUGUGCUUGCACAUCGCUGACGAGUGGCGGACGGGUGAGUAAUGCUUGGGAACUUGCCUUUGCGAGGGGGAUAACAGUUGGAAACGACUGCUAAUACCGCAUAAUGUCUUCGGACCAAACGGGGCUUAGGCUCCGGCGCAGAGAGAGGCCCAAGUGAGAUUAGCUAGUUGGUGGGGUAAAGGCUCACCAAGGCAACGAUCUCUAGCUGUUCUGAGAGGAAGAUCAGCCACACUGGGACUGAGACACGGCCCAGACUCCUACGGGAGGCAGCAGUGGGGAAUAUUGCACAAUGGGGGAAACCCUGAUGCAGCCAUGCCGCGUGUGUGAAGAAGGCCUUCGGGUUGUAAAGCACUUUCAGUUGUGAGGAAAAGUUAGUAGUUAAUACCUGCUAGCCGUGACGUUAACAACAGAAGAAGCACCGGCUAACUCCGUGCCAGCAGCCGCGGUAAUACGGAGGGUGCGAGCGUUAAUCGGAAUUACUGGGCGUAAAGCGCACGCAGGCGGUUUGUUAAGCUAGAUGUGAAAGCCCCGGGCUCAACCUGGGAUGGUCAUUUAGAACUGGCAGACUAGAGUCUUGGAGA